UACAAAAUCACAACUAAGGCCGUGUGUCCACAAAAGCGUUUUUAGCCAGCUGAAAACGCCAGACGCUCUGCUGAAGAUGCCGUGCUUUGGGCGCUUGAGAGCGUUUGGCCGUCACAGCGUUUUUUCCGUUGAGACGUUUCGUUGCUAUGAUACAGAAUAUUCGCAGCAUAGUUUACUUGUAACUGAUUUCGCAGAUAAUUUGUUUCAUACUGAAAAAUUUUUUUUCAUCCAUUUUGUUCGGUUAGCUCUGUUGGUUGAUGUCGCCUCGCCUCGUUGCGCUCAUGGCGUUUAAAAAACGUGGCGCUCCCAUUGAAAACAUACGUCAGGCGCGUGGAAAAACGCUUUGGUGGACACACGG